rnacentral:rRNA from 1 species
GACAUAGGUGGCGAACGUUAUCCGGAAUUAUUGGGCGUAAAGGGUGCGUAGGCGGCAUGAUAAGUUAUUGGCGGCAAAUCGAGGCUCAACCUCGUGGAAACUAAUAAUACUGUCUUGCUUGAGUGCAGAAGAGGUUAACGGAACUCCAUGUGGAGCGGUAAAAUGUGUAGAUAUAUGGAAGAACAUCAAUAACGGCGGAGGCAGUUAACUAUUCUGUUACUGACGUUGAGGCACGAAAGCGUGGGGAGCAAAAAGG